rnacentral:ncRNA from 1 species
UCUAAUUCAUUGAUAAGGAAGAGUAACUAAGAUAAAUAUUCAAAGAGAGUUAAGGAUGCUGGAAUCUUAACAAUAGAAGUUUUAGUGAAUGGACCUUGGAGAAAUAAAGCGAAAUCUUAUAUAGAAAGUAGUAUUUAUCGGGAGCCUGCCGUUAAAAGGGAUAGGGUAUGUUAGUACCUGAAUUUGAGAUAUGUUUAAAUUACUAUUAUUUAAGCAUAAAUUAGGUGGCACCGCGAAUAUAAUCUUCGUCCUAAUG